AGUGAACGCUGGCGGUAGGCCUAACACAUGCAAGUCGAACGGCAGCACAGUAAGAGCUUGCUCUUACGGGUGGCGAGUGGCGGACGGGUGAGGAAUACAUCGGAAUCUACUUUUUCGUGGGGGAUAACGUAGGGAAACUUACGCUAAUACCGCAUACGACCUACGGGUGAAAGCAGGGGAUCUUCGGACCUUGCGCGAUUGAAUGAGCCGAUGUCGGAUUAGCUAGUUGGCGGGGUAAAGGCCCACCAAGGCGACGAUCCGUAGCUGGUCUGAGAGGAUGAUCAGCCACACUGGAACUGAGACACGGUCCAGACUCCUACGGGAGGCAGCAGUGGGGAAUAUUGGACAAUGGGCGCAAUCCUGAUCCAGCCAUACCGCGUGGGUGAAGAAGGCCUCCGGGUUGUAAAGCCCUUUUGUUGGGAAAGAAAAGCAGCAGGUUAAUACCCCGCUGUUCUGACGGUACCCAAAGAAUAAGCACCGGCUAACUUCGUG
rnacentral:rRNA from 1 species